UAGAGUUUGAUCCUGGCUCAGGAUGAACGCUAGCGACAGGCUUAACACAUGCAAGUCGAGGGGCAGCGGGGAGGUAGCAAUACUUCCGCCGGCGACCGGCGCACGGGUGAGUAACACGUAUGGAACCUGCCCGUAGCAGGGGGAUAAACGGAAGAAAUUCCGUCUAAUACCGCGUAAUAACUCCGAGAGGCAUCUCAUGGAGUUUAAAGGGUAACACCGGCUACGGAUGGCCAUGCGGCGCAUUAGCUAGUUGGCGGGGUAACGGCCCACCAAGGCGACGAUGCGUAGGGGUUCUGAGAGGAAGGUCCCCCACACUGGUACUGAGACACGGACCAGACUCCUACGGGAGGCAGCAGUGAGGAAUAUUGGUCAAUGGGCGCGAGCCUGAACCAGCCAAGUCGCGUGAGGGAAGACGGUCCUAUGGAUUGUAAACCUCUUUUGUCGGGGAGCAAAAGACGCCACGUGUGGCGUUCCGAGAGUACCCGAAGAAAAAGCAUCGGCUAACUCCGUGCCAGCAGCCGCGGUAAUACGGAGGAUGCGAGCGUUAUCCGGAUUUAUUGGGUUUAAAGGGUGCGCAGGCGGAAGAUCAAGUCAGCGGUAAAAUUGAGAGGCUCAACCUCUUCGAGCCGUUGAAACUGGUUUUCUUGAGUGAGCGAGAAGUAUGCGGAAUGCGUGGUGUAGCGGUGAAAUGCAUAGAUAUCACGCAGAACUCCGAUUGCGAAGGCAGCAUACCGGCGCUCAACUGACGCUCAUGCACGAAAGUGUGGGUAUCGAACAGGAUUAGAUACCCUGGUAGUCCACACAGUAAACGAUGAAUACUAAUUGUUCGGGGAGAAUGAUCCCUGAGUGAUACAGCGAAAGCGUUAAGCAUUCCACCUGGGGAGUACGCCGGCAACGGUGAAACUCAAAGGAAUUGACGGGGGCCCGCAC
rnacentral:rRNA from 1 species